rnacentral:rRNA from 1 species
AGAUUGAACGCUGGCGGCAUGCCUAACACAUGCAAGUCGAACGGCAGCGCGGGUAGCAAUACCUGGCGGCGAGUGGCGGACGGGUGAGGAACACAUAGGAAUCUACCCUGUCGUGGGGGAUAACGUAGGGAAACUUACGCUAAUACCGCAUACGACCGAGAGGUGAAAGCGGCGGACCGCAAGGCGUCGCGCGGCUGGAUGAGCCUAUGUCCGAUUAGCUAGUUGGCGGGGUAAGAGCCCACCAAGGCGACGAUCGGUAGCUGGUCUGAGAGGAUGAUCAGCCACACUGGGACUGAGACACGGCCCAGACUCCUACGGGAGGCAGCAGUGGGGAAUAUUGGACAAGUGGG